AUUGAACGCUGGCGGCAGGCUUAACACAUGCAAGUCGAGCGGGGGAAGGUAGCUUGCUACUGGACCUAGCGGCGGACGGGUGAGUAAUACUUAGGAAUCUGCCUAUUAGUGGGGGACAACAUCUCGAAAGGGAUGCUAAUACCGCAUACGUCCUACGGGAGAAAGCAGGGGAUCUUCGGACCUUGCGCUACUAGAUGAGCCUAAGUCGGAUUAGCUAGUUGGUGGGGUAAAGGCCUACCAAGGCGACGAUCUGUAGCGGGUCUGAGAGGAUGAUCCGCCACACUGGGACUGAGACACGGCCCAGACUCCUACGGGAGGUAGCAGUGGGGAAUAUUGGACAAUGGGGGGAACCCUGAUCCAGCCAUGCCGCGUGUGUGAAGAAGGCCUUGUGGUUGUAAAGCACUUUAAGCGAGGAGGAGGCUACUUUAGUUAAUACCUAGAGAUAGUGGACGUUACUCGCAGAAUAAGCACCGGCUAACUCUGUGCCAGCCGCCGCAGUAA
rnacentral:rRNA from 1 species